rnacentral:rRNA from 1 species
ACGACGCUGGCGGCGUGCCUAAUACAUGCAAGUCGAACGGUCUUUCUAUGGAAGCUUGCUUCCACUGAGAAGAUAGUGGCGAACGGGUGAGUAACACGUGGGUAACCUGCCCAUAAGAGGGGGAUAACAUCCGGAAACGGGUGCUAAUACCGCAUAGUUUUCUUGAUCGCAUGAUUGAGAAAGGAAAGACGGCCUUUGUGCUGUCGCUUAUGGAUGGACCCGCGGCGUAUUAGUUAGUUGGUGAGGUAACGGCUCACCAAGACGAUGAUACGUAGCCGACCUGAGAGGGUGAUCGGCCACAUUGGGACUGAGACACGGCCCAAACUCCUACGGGAGGCAGCAGUAGGGAAUCUUCCGCAAUGGACGAAAGUCUGACGGAGCAACGCCGCGUGAGUGAAGAAGGUUUUCGGAAUCGUAAAACUCUGUUGUCAGAGAAGAACAAGUUGGAGAGUAACUGCUCCAGCCUUGACGGUAUCUGACCAGAAAGCCACGGCUAACUACGUGCCAGCAGCUGC